rnacentral:rRNA from 1 species
GGUUACGACUAAGCGUACACGGUGGAUGCCCUGGCAGUCAGAGGCGAUGAAGACGUGCUAAUCUGCGAAAAGCGUCGUAAGGUGAUAUGAACCGUUAUAGCCGGCGAUGUCCGGAAUGGGGGAAAACCCAGUGCAACCUCGUGGCUGCACCAUCGUUAACUGAAUACAUAGGUUAACGAGGCGAACCGGGGGAACUGAAACAUCUAAGUACCCCGAGGAAAGAAAUUCAACCGGAGAUUCCCCCAGUAGCGGCGAGCGAACGGGGAGCAGCCCGGAGUCUGAACUAGCUUCUUGUGUGUUAGUGGAAGCGUUCGAAAGUCGCAGGGUACCAGGUGAUACUCCCGUACACUAAAACGCACAGGUUGGUGGAACUCGAAGAGUAGGGCGGGACACGUGGUAUCCUGUCUGAAUAUAGGGAUCCAUCCUCCAAGGCUAAAUACUCCUGACUGACCGAUAGUGAACCAGUACCGUGAGGGAAAGGCGAAAAGAACCCCAAGGAGGAAAGAACUCCAAACCGUGUACGUACCGGCAGGAGCCCCACUAACAAAAGCGUUUCGCUUUUGCGUGGUGCGCAAAAUGCGUAACGACAGCGAUGGACGGUUAACGGAGCGUAAGCGACGUUCAACAUCAAAAAAAUCAGGCAGUGGAGCGUUUUGGGUGGGUGACUGCGUACCUUUUGUAUAAUGGGUCAGCGACUUAUAUUCUGUAGCAAGGUUAACCGUUAGGGGAGCCGCAGGGAAACCGAGUCUGGCUGGGCGUUAAGUUGCAGGGUAUAGACCCGAAACCCGGCGAUUCAGCCGCUGGGCAGGCUUUUGAAGGUUGGGUAACACUAACUGGAGGACCGGAACCGGACUUCAAAUGUUGAAAAUUAGCGGAGCUUAAUUUGUGGCUGGGGGUGUGAAAGCAAUAAUCAAAACCGGGAGAUAGCUGGUUCUCCCCGAAAGCUAUUUAGGUAGCGCCCUCGUGAACUCAUCUUCGGGGGUAGAAUCGUUUCGCUAGGUCAUCCCGACUUACAACCUGAUGCAAACUACGAAUACCGGAAGAAUGUUAUCACGGGAGACACACGGCGGGUGCUAACGUCCGUCGUGAAGAGGGAAAACAACCCAGAAUGCCAGCUAAGGUCCCAAAGUCAUGGUUAAGUGGGAAACGAUGUGGAAGCGCCCAGACAGCGAUGUUGGCUUAGAAGCAGCCAUCAUUUAAAGAAAGCGUAAUAGCUCACUGGUCGAGUCGGCCUGCGCGGAAGAUGUAACGGGCUAAACCAUGCAAACCGAAGCUGCGGCAGCGACACUAUGUGUUGUUGGGUAGGGGAGUUGCCCUGUGUCUCGUUGAAGGUGGCCUGAGGCUUGCUGGAGGUAUCAGAAGUGCGAAUGCUGACAUAAGUAACGAUAAUGCGGGUGAAAAACCCGCACGCCGGAAGAAUAAGGGUUCCUGUCCAACGUGUUAAUCGGGGCAGGGUGAGUCGACCCCUAAGGCGAGGCCGAAAGGCGUGGUCGAUGGAAACAGGUUAAUAUUCCUGUACUCGGGGUGUUACUGCGAAGGGGGACGGAGAAGGCUAUGUUGGCCGGGCGAUUUGUUGUCCUGGUUUACAUGUAGGCGGAUGUUCCAGUAAAUCCGGAACGUCACAACGCUGAGGUGUGAUGACGAGGCACUACGGUGCUGAAGUGACAAAUGCCCUGCUUCCGUGAAAGCUCUGCCAUCAGGUAAACACCGUAAAAUCGUACCCCAAAACCGACACAGGUGGUCAGGCAGAGAAUACCAAGGCGCUUGAGAGAACUCGGGUGAAGGAACUAGGCAAAAUGGUGCCGUAACUUUUCGGGAGAAGGCACGCUGAUGGUAAGUGAAGGACUUGCUCGUGGAGCUGAAAUCAGUCGAAGAUACCACAGCUCGCAAUGCAAAUCGCGUUUAUUAAAAACACAGCACUGGAAACCACAGCUUUUAGCCUGCAGCAUACGGUGUGACGCCUGCCCGGUGCCGGAAGGUUAAUAAACGUAACGGGUUAUCCGUAAGGAGAAGCUCUUGAUCGAAGCCCCGGUAAACGGCGGCCGUAACUAUAACGGUCCUAAGGUAGCGAAAUUCCUUAUCGGGUAAGUUCCGGACCUGCACGAAUGGCGUAAUGAUGGGCUGUGCUGUCUCCAAUUCCGAGACUCAGUGAAAUUGAACCUCCCGCUGUGAAGAUGCAGUGUACCCAAGUGGCAAGACGGAAAGACCCCCGUGAACCUUACUAUAGCUUGACACUGAACACUGGUCCUUGAUGUGUAGGAUAGUGGAGGCUUUGAAGUGUGAUGCCAGUCUGCAUGGAGCCAUCCUUGAAAUACCACCCUUUAAUGGCUGGUGUUCUAACGUGGGCCCGUAAUCCGGGUUGCGGACAGUGUCUGGUGGGUGUUUGAUCAGGGGCGUGGUCUCCUCCUAAAGAGUAACGGAGGAGCACGAAGGUCAGCUAAUCCCGGUCGGACAUCAGGAGGUUAGUGCAAUGGCAUAAGCUACUUGACUGCGAGCGUGACGGCGCGAGCAGGUGCGAAAGCAGGUCAUAGUGGAUCCGGUGGUUCUGAAUGGAAGGGCUAUCGCUCAACGGAUAAAAGGUACCUGGGGAUAACAGGCCGAUACCGCCCAAGAGUUCAUAUCGACGGCGGUGUUUGGCACCUCGAUGUCGGCUCAUCACAUCCUCGGGGCUGAAGUAGGUCCUGGGCGGUAUGGCUGUUCGCCAUUUAAAGUGGUACGCGAGCCGUCGGGGAACGUCGUGGAGACAGUUCGGUCCCCAUUCGCCGUGGCGCUGGAGAACUGAGGGGGCCGUUCCUAGUACGAGGACCGAGCGACGCAUCACUGGUGCUCCGGGCUUGUCAUGCCAAUGCCCGGUAGCUAAAUGCGGAAGAGAUAAGUGCUGAAAGCAUCUAAGCACGAAACUUGCCCCGAGAUGAGUUCUCCCUGACCCUUUAAGGGUCCUGAAGGAACGUUGAAGACGACGACGUUGAUAGGCCGGGUGUGUAAGCGCAGCGAUGCGUUGAGCUAACCGGUACUAAUGAACCGUGAGGCUUAACCUUACAACGCCGAAG